rnacentral:rRNA from 1 species
CUUCAGAGAUGCUUGCAUCUCUGAGACUUAGCGGCGGACGGGUGAGUAACACGUAGGUAACCUGCCUGUAAGACCGGGAUAACAUUCGGAAACGAAUGCUAAUACCGGAUACGCGAAUCGGUCGCAUGACCGGAUCGGGAAAGACGGAGCAAUCUGUCACUUACAGAUGGACCUGCGGCGCAUUAGCUAGUUGGUGAGGUAACGGCUCACCAAGGCGACGAUGCGUAGCCGACCUGAGAGGGUGAUCGGCCACACUGGGACUGAGACACGGCCCAGACUCCUACGGGAGGCAGCAGUAGGGAAUCUUCCGCAAUGGACGAAAGUCUGACGGAGCAACGCCGCGUGAGUGAAGAAGGUUUUCGGAUCGUAAAGCUCUGUUGCCAGGGAAGAACGCUUGGGAGAGUAACUGCUCUCAAGGUGACGGUACCUGAGAAGAAAGCCCCGGCUAACUACGUGCCAGCAGCCGCGGUAAUACGUAGGGGGCAAGCGUUGUCCGGAAUUAUUGGGCGUAAAGCGCGCGCAGGCGGCUGAUUAAGUUCGGUGUUUAACCCCGGGGCUCAACCCCGGGUCGCACUGGAAACUGGUUGGCUUGAGUGCAGAAGAGGAAAGUGGAAUUCCACGUGUAGCGGUGAAAUGCGUAGAGAUGUGGAGGAACACCAGUGGCGAAGGCGACUUUCUGGGCUGUAACUGACGCUGAGGCGCGAAAGCGUGGGGAGCAAACAGG